AAGAGGUGCAGCAGCAGCAGCGACUCUCCCUCCGGCGGCUGCAGCAGCAGAGCCAGGCACACUGCAAUCCCAUUAGUGAGUGGCGGCCACUGUGAAGAAGAGUCUGUGACUGGGAAUAAUGCAAAAUAAUUUUACUUUUGAGGGACUCUAAACUCUUCAAACCAUUGUUAUAACAGAUGAUGCUUGACAUUGCCAAUCAUUCCAUCUUCCUUUUACUUCCUCCCCAAAAAUGUUUAUAGGGGUGUACUAGAAAAAACUCUGGAAGAUGCUUCUUUCUUUCCUAUGAGGUGCCAGUUGCCGAAGGUGAGACAGGGCAAACCAAAAACAUUGUUCUGGCAGUGCAAGAGUGACAGAGACAGACAACAUUUACCUUUCCAGAUGCAGUAUAUUAUAUGGCUGAGGACUAAUCUGCUGAUGCACUUGCUGCCUUUGUCUUCCAAUCUUACUUUGGCCAUAAAGAGUG